rnacentral:lncRNA from 1 species
UGAAAAUGAAAAAAAACCCCAAAUAAUAAUAAAAAAAAAUUAAUAAAUGCAGUCUUAGAGUUUGAUUAACUUCUCUUCCAGUAGGUGGAGCUGUGCCCACCGGGCCAAGCUUCUCCUCUCAAUACACGGGAACCAAUCACUGUGCAGCAGCUCCUCCUCCCAGACUGGGCGGGUCUCCAAUCCUGAGUGCCUAGGGCCUUCUCUUGUGUCUAGUCACUUCCCCACUUUUCCUCAAGCCAGGCCCCGCUCACCGGUGAUGCUCACCACAAUAC